UACAGAGGUCCCAAGCGUUGUUCGGAUUUACUGGGCGUAAAGCGCGCGUAGGCGGUCUCUUAAGUCUGGGGUGAAAGGUUCAGCGCUCAACGCGAACAGUGCCCUGGAGACUGGGGGACUUGAGUGUGGGAGGGGGCAGUGGAAUUCCGGGUGUAGCGGUGAAAUGCGUAGAGAUCCGGAGGAACACCGAUGGCGAAGGCAGCUGCCUGGCCUAACACUGACGCUGAGGUGCGAAAGCGUGGGGAGCGAACGGG
rnacentral:rRNA from 1 species